rnacentral:rRNA from 1 species
GGAAGCUUCCACAAUGGACGCAAGUCUGAUGGAGCAACGCCGCGUGAGUGAAGAAGGUUUUCGGACCGUAAAGCUCUGUUGUUGGUGAAGAAGGAUAGAGGUAGUAACUGGCCUUUAUUUGACGGUAAUCAACCAGAAAGUCACGGCUAACUACGUGCCAGCAGCCGCGGUAAUACGUAGGUGGCAAGCGUUGUCCGGAUUUAUUGGGCGUAAAGCGAGCGCAGGCGGAAGAAUAAGUCUGAUGUGAAAGCCCUCGGCUUAACCGAGGAAUUGCAUCGGAAACUGUUUUCUUGAGUGCAGAAGAGGAGAGUAGAACUCCAUGUGUAGCGGUGGAAUGCGUAGAUAUAUGGAAGAAUACCAGUGGCGAAGGCGGCUCUCUGGUCUGCAACUGACGCUGAGGCUCGAAAGCAUGGGUAGCGAACAGGAUUAGAUACCCUGGUAGUCCAUGCCGUAAACGAUGAGUGCUAAGUGUUGGGAGGCUUCCGCCUCUCAGUGCUGCAGCUAACGCAUUAAGCACUCCGCCUGGGGGAGUACGACCGCAAGGUUGAAAC